rnacentral:rRNA from 1 species
GCCGGAGCUCUCGUUCUUUUUUUAGUCCUAUAAUAGCACAUAAAACAAAACAUUUGAAUUGGUCAGUAAAGGAGAUUGAAAACCGCACAGACACUAUAGAAAUAGUACCGCAAGGGAAAGAGGGAAAGCAAAUAAAAGCAAAGAUAAAACCUUGUACCUUUCGCAUCAUGGUUUAGCAAGACACGCUGGGCGGGGCGCCCCACGCCCAGGAGCCCGAAACCAAGUGAGCUACCCCCCAACAGGAAACGGACCCGUCCCUGUGGCAAAAGGGUGGGAAGAUUGAGGGGUAGCGGUGAAAAGCCUAUCGAACUUGGCAAUAGCUGGUUGCUUAAAACUGAACCUAAGUUCUACCUCAGCCACCGCCACCAUUAAAACGGGACGGUUGAGGGAACCCGCCGGAGGAACAGCCCCGGCGAGCAGGGAUACAACCCCCGUCUGAGAGUAAGUCGAGAGUCCCCACCAGUAGGCCCUAAAGCCGCCACCCAUGAAAACAGCGUCAAAGCGCCAGACCACUAAUUCAUAAAACACCAACCACCUCCUGACACAGAUUAAGCCAGACCUACGCACGUAGACGAACUAAUGCUAAAACUACUAAUAAGGACACCAACCCUCUAAGCGCACCCGUCAGUUGGGAUGGACCAACCACCAGCAAUUAUCAGUUAUAAAAGAAGACCCAGGCCACAAACCUUUUAUCCACUGUGACACCAACACUGGCGCGCCAAAAAGAAAGAUAAAAAGCCACAGAAGGAACUCGGCAACCACUGGCCCCAACUGUUUACCAAAAACAUAACCUUUAGCCAACCAAGUAUUAAAGGCAUCGCCUGCCCGGUGAAAUCUCUUAAACGGCCGCGGUACCCUAACCGUGCGAAGGUAGCAUAAUCACUUGUCUAUUAAUCAUAGACUGGCAUGAAAGGCUGCAUGAGGGCCACACUGUCUCCUGUGGCCAAUCAAUGAAACUGAUCUUACAGUCCAAAAGCUGUAAUACUAACAUAAGACGAGAAGACCCUGUGAAACUUUCAACGAGCCUCCCCCCGGGGGGGAGGUACUUUUAGUUGGGGCAACUUUGGAAAACUCGAAACUUCCAAAUUUUUAGAACAUCAACUACCACAAAGGCCAACACGCCUUACCAUACGACCCAGUACACCUGAUAAAUGAACCAAGCUACUCCAGGGAUAACAGCGCCAUCUUCUUCAAGAGCCCAUAUCAAAAAGAAGGUUUACGACCUCGAUGUUGGAUCAGGACACCCCGGUGGCGCAGCCACUACCAAGGGUUCGUUUGUUCAACGAUUAAUAGU